rnacentral:rRNA from 1 species
ACGGGAGGCAGCAGUGGGGGAUAUUGCGCAAUGGGGGCAACCCUGACGCAGCAACGCCGCGUGCAGGAAGAAGGUCUUCGGAUUGUAAACUGUUGUCGCAAGGGAAGAAGACAGUGACGGUACCUUGUGAGAAAGUCACGGCUAACUACGUGCCAGCAGCCGCGGUAAUACGUAGGUGACAAGCGUUGUCCGGAUUUACUGGGUGUAAAGGGCGCGUAGGCGGGGUAGCAAGUCAGUCGUGAAAUACCGAGGCUCAACCACGGGGCUGCGAUUGAAACUGUUAUUCUUGAGUAUCGGAGAGGAAAGCGGAAUUCCUAGUGUAGCGGUGAAAUGCGUAGAUAUUAGGAGGAACACCAGUGGCGAAGGCGGCUUUCUGGACUGUAACUGACGCUGAGGCACGAAAGCGUGGGGAGCAAACAGGAUUAGAUACCCUGGUA